rnacentral:rRNA from 1 species
UACGUAGGGUGCAAGCGUUGUCCGGAAUUAUUGGGCGUAAAGAGCUCGUAGGCGGUUUGUUGCGUCGGCUGUGAAAUCCCGAGGCCCAACCUCGGGUCUGCAGUCGAUACGAGCAAACUAGAGUGUUGCAGGGGAGACUGGAAUUCCUGGUGUAGCGGUGAAAUGCGCAGAUAUCAAGAGGAACACCUGCGGCGAAGGCGGGUUGCUGGGCCGACACUGACGCUGGAGGCGCGGAAAGCCUAGGGUAGCAAACGGG